GGGCAGCUUUGUUUAACUUCAAGACCAUGUGCUGCUGAAAGCUUUCUGAAAGCAACAGGACAAAAAAUAAGGGAUGUGGGCCUUGGAAAGACCAGCUGAUGGAAAAAAUCAACGUCUGUGUUGCACGCAACGCCAUUGUGACAGUCUGCAUCACCAUUUGGCCUGUUGUGGGAUCCCACAAGACACGCUCUGUUCCUCGGUCAAUUACUGAACUUCUGCAAGCCCCAUGGAAGCCAACUGUGAUCCGCAUCGACUGGAACAAAUUCAUUG